rnacentral:rRNA from 1 species
AGGUGCUGCAUGGCUGUCGUCAGCUCGUGUCGUGAGAUGUUGGGUUAAGUCCGUAACGAGCGCAACCCUGUCCUUAGUUACCAGCACGUUAUGGUGGGCGACUCUAAGGAGACUGCCGGUGGCAAACCGGAGGAAGGUGGGGAGUGACGCCAAGUCAUCAUGGCCCUUACGGCCUGGGCUACACACGUGCUACAAUGGUCGGUACGAAGGGUUGCCAAGCCGCGAGGUGGAGCUAAUCCCAUAAAACCGAUCGUAGUCCGGAUCGCAGUCUGCAACUCGACUGCGUGAAGUCGGAAUCGCUAGUAAUCGUGAAUCAGAAUGUCACGGUGAAUACGUUCCCGGGCCUU